CUACGUAGCUCAGUUGGUUAGAGCACAUCACUCAUAAUGAUGGGGUCACAGGUUCGAAUCCCGUCGUAG
rnacentral:tRNA from 8 species